AGGGACAUCCAUCUCCACCUACCUCCGAACCUAUCACGUCGGAGAUUACGUCGACAUCAAGGUCAACGCCGUUUACAAAGCCAUUGUCGUCGAGAUGAACAAACAGAAUUUGAGAAAAGUCACUGGAGUUUGGGACCUGCUUAAUUGUUGAUUUGUUUGGUUCAAGGAAAAUGAAAGUUAGAUUUAGGCAAACAGAGCUUGUAUGCACCUGGAUUCAAGGCAUGUGACCACUGGAAGUGAAAACCAUCUUGUAUGCACCUGGAUUCAAGGCAUUUAGAUUUAGGCAAACAGAGCUUGUAUGCAUCUUGGUUUAAGGAAAAUGAAAGUUAAAUUUAGUCAACAGAAAGUGAAAUUCAAUCAACAACAGAGGUCGCUGCGUUUUUUAUCAGUUUCCUGAUUUGUUCACCGCCGUUGAUAUCUAACAAAUUGUUGUCUUAGUUUCAUAGAAAAAGGGAUUUGGAUUUGGGGAUGAACCAGAACCACUUCCUUUUGUUUUAGUUAUUCAGUGAUUUGAUAAAUAAAAGAUUUAUUUUACUUUUUUAA